rnacentral:rRNA from 1 species
GACGAGUGGCGGACGGGUGAGUAAUGCUUGGGAACUUGCCUUUGCGAGGGGGAUAACAGUUGGAAACGACUGCUAAUACCGCAUAAUGUCUUCGGACCAAACGGGGCUUCGGCUCCGGCGCAAAGAGAGGCCCAAGUGAGAUUAGCUAGUUGGUAAGGUAACGGCUUACCAAGGCGACGAUCUCUAGCUGUUCUGAGAGGAAGAUCAGCCACACUGGGACUGAGACACGGCCCAGACUCCUACGGGAGGCAGCAGUGGGGAAUAUUGCACAAUGGGGGAAACCCUGAUGCAGCCAUGCCGCGUGUGUGAAGAAGGCCUUCGGGUUGUAAAGCACUUUCAGUUGUGAGGAAAAGUUAGUAGUUAAUACCUGCUAGCCGUGACGUUAACAACAGAAGAAGCACCGGCUAACUCCGUGCCAGCAGCCGCGGUAAUACGGAGGGUGCGAGCGUUAAUCGGAAUUACUGGGCGUAAAGCGCACGCAGGCGGUUUGUUAAGCUAGAUGUGAAAGCCCCGGGCUCAACCUGGGAUGGUCAUUUAGAACUGGCAGACUAGAGUCUUGGAGAGGGGAGUGGAAUUCCAGGUGUAGCGGUGAAAUGCGUAGAUAUCUGGAGGAACAUCAGUGGCGAAGGCGACUCCCUGGCCAAAGACUGACGCUCA